rnacentral:ncRNA from 1 species
AUCGUCAGGAUCUUGGCGAUAUAGGGGAUCAGCGGCAAGUUGAGGAUCAACAACACAAGAUUGCCCAGAUACAUUGAUAUAAUGACGGCCCAGAAGACCUCUGGUGUAUCCGUCAUCAACCGCGGGCC